rnacentral:rRNA from 1 species
AAUCAACGCUGGCGGCGUGCCUCAGACAUGCAGGUCGAACGCGAAAGUUCCCUUCGGGGAGCGAGUAGAGUGGCGUACGGGUGAGUAACACGUAGGUAAUCUACCUUUGGGUGGGGAAUAACAGCCGGAAACGGCUGCUAAUACCGCAUAAUGCAGCGGCUCGACAUCGAGACAGUUGUUAAAGCGGGGAGUCGCAAGACCUCGCGCCUAAAGAGGAGCCUGCGGCGGAUUAGCUAGUUGGUGGGGUAAGUGGCUCACCAAGGC